rnacentral:rRNA from 1 species
UUGGAGGGCAAGUCUGGUGCCAGCAGCCGCGGUAAUUCCAGCUCCAAUAGCGUAUAUUAAAGUUGUUGCGGUUAAAAAGCUCGUAGUCUGAGGUCUGUUCCGGACUGGCUGGGGAGGUCACCGCCCGGUGCUUCCCCGUCAGGUUCCGAACAGCUUCUGCCGCGAGCGGAAGCCAUGCCGGUUCUGUCGGGGUGCUCUUGACCGAGUGUCCCGUGUGGCCGGCAGGUUCACCUUGAACAAAUGAGAGUGCUCAAAGCAGGCUACUCUUAAAACUAAAGCCCGAAUGUUAACUGCAUGGAAUGAUGAAAGAUGAUCUCGGUUCUAUUUGACUGGCUUUUGGAACCAGAGUUAAUGAUAAACAGAGACUGUCGGGGGCAUCCGUACUACGACGCGAGAGGUGAAAUUCAAUGACCGUCGUAGGACGAACAACAGCGAAAGCAUUUGCCAAGAAUGUCUUCGUUGAUCAAGAACGAAAGUUAGAGGAUCGAAGGCGAUCAGAUACCGCCCUAGUUCUAACCCUAAACGAUGCUAACUAGCUAUUCGCCGUCGUUAUUCCCAUGACGUGGCGAGACGCCCCCGGGAAACCUCAAGUCUUUGAGUUCCGGGGGUAGUAUGGUUGCAAAACUGAAACUUAAAGGAAUUGACGGAAGGGCACCACCAGGAGUGGAGCCUGCGGCUUAAUUUGACUCAACACGGGAAACCUCACCAGGCCCGGACACCAGAAGGAUUGACAGAUUAAGAGCUCUUUCUCGAUUUGGUGGGUGGUGGUGCAUGGCCGUUCUUAGUUGGUGGAGUGAUUUGUCUGGUUAAUUCCGGUAACGAACGAGACUCUGGCCUACUAACUAGUGGAUGGGUGUUCUGGUAACGGGCCCCAUCCGAUAAUGUCUUCUUAGAGGGAUGAGCAGCGAGUAUAGCUGCAGGAGAUUGAGCAAUAACAGGUCUGUGAUGCCCUUAGAA